GGCCUCCCCACGCUUACCGCAGGUGGCUGCGCCUCCAACCGCCUGCAUAGAACGGGGAGGGAGAGCACGGCCUCGGGUAACACCCCGGCUGGGGCGGCGGUGCCGCGGCCGGAUUGUGACCGGGGGGACACGG
ensembl:snoRNA